CCCCCAUACACCUUCGCCCAAACCCUCCCGUAUCAACCGCGAGAACGAGUUGGAUCUCGUCGGAAACUGCGAAGUUCACCGUCCGUUUGCAUGUCCGCGAGCCACUUGAGCUCAAACGCCGACCCGGAGUUCGCGUAGUUCGCCGGAGAAACAACCUCGCCCCGCAGCCGUCUGACGUCCCCAAGUUACUCCGCCGCCACCCCUGGGACUGAGACACUUCGCCACAUCCCCCCGACUCCACCAUCGCCGCCGACGACUGCCAGAGCGGCCGCCCCAAUCGCGCCCGAGCUCCCCCCAAUGCUACGUUCCUCUCUGUAAGCAACGAGAGGCUCCCUCCAUUUUUUUCGAAGCCUUAAGUGCAAAUAAGAUUAGAUCGGUUUUAGUAGAUCGGUUCUAUUAGUCGGUUUACUUCGGUUUAGAUCACACUGGUUCAUUGGUUUCUUUUUAUUAAAUGUACGUGCACAUUUCUAUAAAGUUUCGGCCGAGCGACGGUUAGUUACAGAUCGCUCAGAUCCUAGCCUAGUAGACUUGCCCGUUAUGUUUUAUUUUCGUUUCUAUAAAAAACAGAAAAGUUUCAAUCUUAGAUAUUCUAUAACUUUUA